UACGGAGGGGGCUAGCGUUAUUCGGAAUUACUGGGCGUAAAGCGCACGUAGGCGGAUUAGAAAGUCAGAGGUGAAAUCCCAGGGCUCAACCUUGGAACUGCCUUUGAAACUGGAAAGCUAGAAUCUUGGAGAGGUCAGUGGAAUUCCGAGUGUAGAGGUGAAAUUCGUAGAUAUUCGGAAGAACACCAGUGGCGAAGGCGACUUACUGGACGACUGUUGACGCUGAGGUGCGAAAGCGUGGGGAGCAAACAGG
rnacentral:rRNA from 1 species